ACACACAGGUAGUGAGGAGGCCGGGGUGUUAAUACACACACAGGUAGCGAGGAGGCCGGCGUGUUAAUACACACACAGGUAGUGAGGAGGCCGGGGUGUUAAUACACACACAGGUAGUGAGGAGGCCGGCGUGUUAAUACACACACAGGUAGUGGUUAAAUCUAAGAGGGUUGUAUAUUUCCAGGAAUUUAUCCAUCUCCUCUAGGUUUUCUAGUUUAUGCAUGUAAAGGUGUUUAUAGUAGCCUUGAGUGAUCUUUUGUAUUUCUGUGGUAUCGAUUGUAACAUCUCCCAUUUCAUUGCUAAUUGAGCUUGUUAGGAUCUUCUCUCUUCUUUUCUUGGUUAAUCUCACUAAUGGCCUGUCAAUUUUAUUUGUCUUUUCAAAGAACCAGCUUUUUGUUUCAUUUACCUUUUGUAUUUUUUUUUUUCAAUAUCAUUUAGUUCUGUUCUGAUCUUGGUUAUAUCUUUUCUUCUGCUGGUUUGGGUUUGGUUUGUUUUUGUUUCUCUAGCUCCUUGAGGCAUGACCUUAGAAUGCCUAUUUGUGCUCUUUCAGACUUUUUGAUGUAGGCCUUUAGUGCUAUGAGCUUUCCUUUGAGUGCUGCAGUUGUGUCACUAUUAUUCAGUUCAAAGAAUAUUUUAAUUUCCAUCUUGAUUUCAUGGUUGAUUCAAUGAUCAUUUGGGAGCAGGUUAUUUAAUUUCCAUACAUUUGCAUGGUUUUGAGGGUUCCUUUUCGAGUUGAUUUUCAGUUUUAUUCCACUGUGGUCUGAGAUACUACUUGCUAUAAUUUUGAUUUUCUUAAAUUAGUUGAGACUUGUUUUGUGGCCUAUCAUAUGGUCUAUCUUGGAAAA
rnacentral:lncRNA from 1 species